UCUCCGUUGGUGAACCAGCGGAGGGAUCAUUACCGAGUUUUCAACUCCCAAACCCACUGUGAACAUAUACCUUUGUUUUCGUUGCCUCGGCGGUUCGCGCCGCCGGGUGACACCUAAACCCUGAUUUAAUUACAGAAGUCUUUCUGAGUAAAAACAUUCUAAAUGAAUCAAAACUUUCAACAACGGAUCUCUUGGUUCUG
rnacentral:misc_RNA from 1 species